UACGUAGGGGGCAAGCGUUGUCCGGAAUUAUUGGGCGUAAAGAGCUCGUAGGCGGUCCGUUAAGUCGGAUGUGAAAUCUCAGGGCUUAACCCUGAAAUUGCAUCCGAUACUGUCGGACUUGAGGCAGGUAGAGGAGAACGGAAUUUCUGGUGUAGCGGUGAAAUGCGCAGAUAUCAGGAGGAACACCGGUGGCGAAGGCGGUUCUCUGGGCCGGAACUGACGCUGAGGAGCGAAAGCGUGGGGAGCAAACAGG
rnacentral:misc_RNA from 1 species